UGUAAAUGUUAUAUUAUUUAGGGCCUUGGUUAUAUUAUUCUUCUUGUGGUAGUGUGUGUGUGAAUACACGGUGCAAAUUCUCGUGGAAAAUUUUGAUAAAAUUGCUGUUACUCAUGAAUCAAGAUAUUAAACAGUAGCUCAUCUGUCAUUGAAAAUAUUCAUAGACAUCAUUCAUGUGAAAAGGUUCCACAAUGCCAGCGUAGCAUCCCACCGUCCCAGCGAUGCCGCGCAUCCGCUCGUCCAGCUCGGGGAGCGGCUAUGAGGACCUGUCGUCUCUGGCGGGUAGCGUGGCGCCCGGCUCGCUGCUCAGCCAGGUGCGCGGCGUGCGUGAUCCCGGCGACGAGCUCGAGAUGACCGCAUCCACCGCCGGCGUUGUGCCUGAUGACACAUUCACCGUGGACCAGGCAGUGAACGCCAUCGGUUUCGGACGCUUCCAAGUGCGCCUCUCACUCAUCACGGGCCUCUGCUGGAUGGCCGACUCGAUGGAGAUGAUGAUCCUCUCGAUUCUAUCUCCGGCCGUCCAGUGCACGUGGCGCAUAUCCGAGUGGCGUCAGGCGUUCAUCACCACGGUCGUCUUCCUCGGCAUGAUGCUCAGCUCGCCGUUCUGGGGAAAAUUCAGCGACAAGUACGGGCGGAAAACGACGCUGGUGCUGUCUGGCUCGUUCCUGUUCUUCUACGGGUUCCUGUCAGCGUUUGCGCCUACCUAUGUCUGGCUGCUGCUGCUGCGGGGCCUGGUUGGCUUCUGCGUCGGAGCCAUACCUCAGGCUGUUACACUUUAUGCUGAGUACUUGCCUGUGAAGCAGCGAGGAAAGUGCGUUAUUUUAUUGGAGUGUUUCUGGGCGCUGGGAGCCUGUAUGGAGGUGCUGCUGGCCCUGUUUGUGAUGCCCACACUGGGCUGGAAGUGGCUGCUGGGCCUCUCGUCACUGCCUCUGCUGCUAUUCACCCUCAUAUGUCCGUGGUUACCGGAGAGCGCGCGGUUCCACGCGGCCAGCGGACAGUCAGAGCGCGCGCUGAGCACCCUCAAACGGAUGGCAGACGACAACGGCAAGCCGAUGCUGCUCGGCCGGCUGAUCGUAGAUGACGUGAGCACUGUGCGGCGCGGAGCGCUGAGGGACCUGCUGGUGCCCGAGCUGCGCACCACCACACUGCUGCUCUGGUUCAUAUGGUGGGCCAGCGCGUUCUGUUACUACGGCAUUGUCCUGAUGACCACGGAGCUGUUUGAACUAUCCGAGGAGGAUCUGUGCAGCGCGCCGCAGGGAUGGGAGGGAGCCGAGGUAUGUCAGGCGUCGUGUAAGCCGCUACAGCAGGAGGACUACAUUGACCUGCUCUGGACCACACUGGCGGAGUUCCCAGGUAUUUUCUUUACACUACUGAUAAUCGAGAAGUUCGGGCGAAAGAAAACGAUGGCGACCGAGUUUUUCAUCUACACUCUGGCCAUCCUAACGCUGUUCUUCUGCGUGAAGAGCCGAGCCGUGCUUACCGUAACUCUGUUCGUGUGUCGCGGGAUGAUCGCCGGCAUGUUCCAAGCGGCCUACGUCUACACUCCAGAGGUGUACCCGACCACGCUGCGGUCGAUCGGCGUCGGCUCCUGCAGCGGCUUUGCCCGACUCGGCGCCAUGCUGACCCCGCUCAUAGCUCAGUUUACCCGCACCUCGGUGCGUUACACUGCCGUCACAUACAGCGCCACCUCCCUACUGGCCGGCCUGGCGGUUCUCUGUGUCAAACCGACCUCCAAGGUUAUGCAGUAGGGUGAUUCGGAGCGUGUCCGUCCUACUCCGUGCCUACUCCUGAGCCGACCUAUCCUCUUCCCGACCACAGCUCCGAAACGGCAGGUUCUCAUCUACCGGUCUCCGUUCGCGUCCGUGAUCGUGUACGCGUUCGUGGCCAUGACCGCCGGCCUGGCGUGUCUGCUGCUGCCGAUCGAGACGCGUGGCCGACCUCUGCAGAGCAGCCUCUCCGCCGCGGAGUUCCAGUGAGCGCGACUGUCUGGUCGCGGUCGCGGUCGUGGCCGACCUCUGCAGAGCAGCCUCUCCACCGCCGAGUUCCAGUGAGCGCGGCUGUCUGGUCGCAGCCGACCUCCGCAGAGGAGCCUGUCUACCGCGGAGUUCGAGUGAGCGUGGCUGUCUGACCGUGGCCGACCCCUGCAGAGGAGCCUAUCCAGCUCUGACCUACAGUGAGCACGACUGUCCACCACCAGCGGACCCGGCCCGUAUUACGCCAUUACACCCUGUUCGGUUCGGAACUGGCAGCGAAAGACGGCUCGGCGGCGUCAUGUCGGCCUGUGUGCUGUGAGGGAGUGGUAACAUCGCCGAACGAUAACCGAACGAACCGUGCUUCCUGAGUGGAGGUGGAGUUUUGGUCCGGGCGGGGAGUGAUGUUUACAACGAAUCUCGAUGUCGAACAAACGCUACGUGAGCUUGUAUAUUUAAUCAACAGCGAGAACGUCUUGCGGUGAUUGUGCCUUGGAGCAUGAGUGCUGUAUCACUUAUGAAGUGAAAUUGGUGUGGGAGCGUCUUUACGUCAUGUUGAUUUUUAAAUGUCUACGUGUUGUGUAAAUUUCGAUGAGACAUCUUCAAAUUAAGCCCACGGCCGCUGCAUAACCCGCACUUUUCUCUGAGAGGAUUUAACAACAUUAAGCAGGGUGUACUUACCAAAAGCGAUUCGAUUGUCUUUUAAAUGUAAUAUUAUUGUGUGAUGAAUCCGGCAUAGUUCCUCAGUACUUUUCAUGCCCUGCUCCGCGGCAACUGAAUGCAUUCGUUAUUGAGCGGGCGGCGACGGCGGAAUCUGUACUGAUGGACCCCAUUACCGAGUCGUUAGCAAGUCUUGUUUUGAUUCCGACCAAAGGUCCACGAGCGGUCUCCUGUUGCGAGUUUGCUCAGCUCUUUUUCGCAGUGAAUGGCAGUUGAACUAUCGCGCUUUCUUCACGUUGAACGCUGGGUUGGUGUGCGGUGUACGACUUGGCAGCUAUUCUUGGUACGUGAUAUCACUCAUCUUUCACGAGCAGUUAGAUGGCACACUAUUUUAAACAAAGUUGCUCAAUUUUGUACUAUAUUUUGUCCCCUUUGCACCUUUUGCGCGGUUUCUUUCGUCUGAUAACUGCGUUGUUCUAAUUAUUUAUAGUUUAUUUUGUUGUUUAUUAUUGUAAAUGGUGCAGGCAAUAAAUUGAUGACGUGAACUUGUCAUAUAA
rnacentral:misc_RNA from 1 species